rnacentral:rRNA from 1 species
GACGAAUGCUGGCUGCGUGCUUAACACAUGCAAGUCGAACGGUGAAAGGGAGCUUGCUCCCUGGAUCAGUGGCGAACGGGUGAGUAACACGUGGGCAACCUGCCCCUCACUCUGGGAUAACUCCGGGAAACCGGGGCUAAUACCGGAUAGGACACAUGGCUGCAUGGCUGUGUGUGGAAAGUUUUUCGGCUGGGGAUGGGCCCGCGGCCUAUCAGCUUGUUGGUGGGGUGAUGGCCUACCAAGGCGGUGACGGGUAGCCGGCCUGAGAGGGCGACCGGCCACACUGGGACUGAGACACGGCCCAGACUCCUACGGGAGGCAGCAGUGGGGAAUAUUGCGCAAUGGGCGGAAGCCUGACGCAGCGACGCCGCGUGGGGGAUGACGGCCUUCGGGUUGUAAACCUCUUUCGCCAGGGACGAAGCUUUUGUGACGGUACCUGGAGAAGAAGCACCGGCCAACUACGUGCCAGCAGCCGCGGUAACAC